AUUGAACGCUGGCGGCAUGCCUAACACAUGCAAGUCGAACGGCAGCGCGGUGAGAACUUGGGCUGCCGGUGGGGGACGGGUGGGGGGUUCAGGAGAAUAUCCCCGGCUGCGGUGUCGUACGUGGUGACGUAUAGGAUAAUACGGCAAUAGAGCAUCGGGUGUACGGGGGGGAGCUUCGGAUCUUAGGAGCUUGGGCGAGUGGAUGCCCGGUUGGCUAGUUGGCGGGGUGAGGGGGCACAAAGGCGACGAUCGGUAGCUGGUCUGAGAGGAUGAUCUGCCACACUGGAACUGAGACACGGCCCAGACUCCUACGGGAGGCAGCAGUGGGGAAUAUUGGACAAUGGGCGCAAGCCUGAUCCAGCAAUGCCGCGUGUGUGAAGAAGGCCUUCGGGUUGUAAAGCCCUUUUGUUGGGAAAGAAAUGCGUGAGGUUAAUACCCGGACGGGCUGACGGUACCGAAAGAAUAAGCACCGGCUAACUUCGUG
rnacentral:rRNA from 1 species